CCUACGGGAGGCAGCAGUGAGGAAUAUUGGUCAAUGGGCGGAAGCCUGAACCAGCCAAGUCGCGUGAGGGACUAAGGCCCUACGGGUUGUAAACCUCUUUUGCCGGGGAUCAGUGCCCAGCUCGCGAGCUGGGAGGGAGCGUACCCGGAGAAAAAGCAUCGGCUAACCCCGUGCCAGAAGCCGCGGUAUUACGGGGGAUGCGAGCGUUAUCCGUAUUUAUUGGGUUUAAAGGGUGCGUAGGCGGGCCUUCAGGCCGGCGGUAAAAUUGCGGGGCUAAACCCCGCCGAGCCGUCGGAACCGGGUGCCUUGAGUACCGGAGAAGUACGCGGAAUGCGUGGUGUAGCGGUGAAAUGCAUAGAUAUCACGCAGAACCCCGAUUGCGAAGGCAGCGUACCGGCCGGUCACUGACGCUGAGGCACGAAAGCGCGGGUAUCGAACAGGAUUAGAUACCCCUGUAGUC
rnacentral:rRNA from 1 species